AUGUGGGUCCGUCAGUUACAACGCCCUGACAGUGUGCAUGGACCUUUAAUAAACAUCAAAACAGUUCCUCUUACAGAACAAAUUUACAGUAAGUUAAUAAAGUGCGGUUUAUUAAAUAUCAGAUCUCUCUCAUCUAAAUCCUUGUUAAUAAAUGACUUGAUAAGUGACCAUCACAUAGAUCUGUUCUGUCUCACUGAAACCUGGCUGCAGCAGGAUGAAUAUGUUACUUUAAAUGAGUCGACUCCAAUGCGUCACAUCAACUAUCAUGUUCCUAGAAGUACAGGUAGAGGUGGAGGAGUAGCAGCCAUUUAUAAAUCAGAUUUAUUAAUUACUCCUAAACCUAAACAUAGUUAUAACUCAUUUGAGAGCCUCACUCUGAGCCUUUCUCACCCAGACUCUAAAACUCAGAAACCAGUUGUGUUUUGUAUUGUUUACCGUCCUCCUGCUCCAUAUUCAGAGUUCUUAACUGAAUUUUCUGAAUUCUUAUCUGACUUAGUUCGUAGCACAGAUAAAGUCAUUGCAGUGGGAGACUUUAACAUUCAUGUAGAUGUUGACAGCAACUGUCUCAGCACUGCUUUUAACUCCUUAAUAGACACUAUUGGUUUUACACAGCAGGUAAAUGAACCCACUCAUCGUUUUAACCAUACCCUCGAUCUUGUCCUGACAUAUGGGGUUCAAAUUGAUAAUUUAAUAGUUCUUCCCCAAAACCCUCUGUUAUCUGACCAUUUCUUAUUAACCUUUGAAUUUAACACAAUUGACCUUACAAUAGCUGGAAAUAAAUGUUACUAUAGCAGAUGUUUAUCUGACAAUGCUUUUGCCAGAUUCAAGCAGAUGAUUCCAUCAUCUUUUGCCUCAAUGUCUUGUAGAUACACAGAGAACAGUCACCUCAAUCCUUAUGAACAGGUUGACUGUCUUGUAGAUGAUGCUGCAGCUUCUCUACGUACAAUGUUAGACACAGUGGCUCCUCUGAAGAAGAAGACAGUGAAUCAGAGGAGGUUAGCUCUGUGGUAUAACUCAGAUAUCCGCAGCCUAAAGCACAGAACCAGACAACUAGAAAGACAGUGGCGUUCCAACAAAAUAAAUGUAAACUGCAUUGCAUGGAAGGACAGUCUAAUGAAAUAUAAAAAAGCACUUUGUGCUGCUAGAAAAACAUAUUAUUCCUCCCUAAUUGAGGAAAACAAAAACAGCCCCAGGUUUCUUUUCAGCACUGUAGCCAGGCUGACAAAGAGUCAUAGCUGUGUUGAGUCUACUAUCCCCUUAAAUCUCAGCAGCAAUGACUUCAUGAACUACUUCACUAAUAAAAUUAGCAUCAUUAGAUAA
rnacentral:lncRNA from 1 species